rnacentral:rRNA from 1 species
ACGAACGCUGGCGGCGUGCUUAACACAUGCAAGUCGAACGGAAAGGCCCUGCUUGCAGGGUGCUCGAGUGGCGAACGGGUGAGUAACACGUGGGUGAUCUGCCCCUUACUUUGGGAUGAGCCUGGGAAACUGGGUCUAAUACUGGAUAGGACCAUGCUGUAGGUGGUGUGGUGGAAAGAUUAGUUUCGGUAAGGGAUGAGCUCGCGGCCUAUCAGCUUGUUGGUGGGGUAAUGGCCUACCAAGGCGUCGACGGGUAGCCGGCCUGAGAGGGUGGACGGCCACAUUGGGACUGAGAUACGGCCCAGACUCCUACGGGAGGCAGCAGUGGGGAAUAUUGCACAAUGGGCGCAAGCCUGAUGCAGCGACGCCGCGUGGGGGAUGACGGCCUUCGGGUUGUAAACGCCUUUCAGCCAUGACGAAGCCCUUGUGGUGACGGUAGUGGUAGAAGAAGCACCGGCUAACUACGUG